rnacentral:lncRNA from 1 species
AGCAGAGGAAGCGGCGACAAGGAUUCUAGCAGAAGCUGAGAUGAAGAUGGCCACUGAAUCAUCACCGCAACAACAUUACAAAGCUCCCAAGCAUAAACCUGUCCAUAACAAAUUGGAGAAGACAAAAACUUCAGUGGUAUCAAAGAAAGUGCUAUUGCCGAAUCUAAGUGGAAUCUUUAAUAGAAAGAAGAAUCAAGUGGAAUGGGGUUCUCCUUCAUAUCUCCCUGGAGAGAAACCCUUUUGAUGGUUUCUUCUUUUUCAAGAGUUGAGCUUCUUUUUUUUUGUUGUUGUAAACAAUCAAAGAAAGUUGUGUGCUUUUUUUUUUUUUUUCUGCUAAAAGAAGAUUUGUGGUUUGAGAUCAGAAGCAGUUGCAGCUUUGGUCUAACGCGAGAAACUGGUUUGUUGCUGUAAAUUGGAUCAAAGCGAUUUAGGUGUGGUGUUUUAUUCUGUUAGUUUUGGGCCUUUGGCCUUUGGCCCUUUGGCGAUUUAGGUGGGUGUUCUAACCUUAACUCUCUCCGUGUCAUGAAAGGAUGAACGGUGAAUGCCCUAUCAUCGCUCUUUUGUACAAUGUGACACUACUAGCAGCACUCUUUAUACUCUGAGCAACUCGCUCUCCAGUCUCCUCCACAUUAAACUAGUAGAUAUUAUUAAGUUACAUUGUAAGAAAAAUUUGUACAAUACUUUUAUCUACAAGGGAAAGACACUAUAUAUAAUGCAUCUCCUUAUAUACUACGAGCAUGCUAGUUGAUGAUUCAAGAUCCUUGUGUGUAAAUCAUUUUUUCAUCGAAAACAAAACCUUAUUGAGGUACCGAGAUAGAAGCACCACUCAUCUGUUCCUGAAAAUGUUGUAGUGAAGAAAGAUAUCAUAAACUGAGUUUUAAGUAAUAGAUUCCAAAGUUUUGGUUUUUUAAUUAGCUACCAUCAUUUCUCACCAGUUUCAUAUCAGUUCUAGAUGGUUCAGGGCUAUUGUUGAAUACAACAGAAUCUGUUGUUUCAUCAGCAAGUGUUCUUAAUCUGUUUAGCUCAGGUAAUAU